CGCAUAACGUCGCAAGACCAAAGAGGGGGACCUUCGGGCCUCUUGCCAUCAGAUGUGCCCAGAUGGGAUUAGCUUGUUGGUGAGGUAACGGCUCACCAAGGCGACGAUCCCUAGCUGGUCUGAGAGGAUGACCAGCCACACUGGAACUGAGACACGGUCCAGACUCCUACGGGAGGCAGCAGUGGGGAAUAUUGCACAAUGGGCGCAAGCCUGAUGCAGCCAUGCCGCGUGUAUGAAGAAGGCCUUCGGGUUGUAAAGUACUUUCAGCGGGGAGGAAGGUGUUGUGGUUAAUAACCGCAGCAAUUGACGUUACCCGCAGAAGAAGCACCGGCUAACUCCGUGCCAGCAGCCGCGGUAAUACGGAGGGUGCAAGCGUUAAUCGGAAUUACUGGGCGUAAAGCGCACGCAGGCGGUCUGUCAAGUCGGAUGUGAAAUCCCCGGGCUCAACCU
rnacentral:rRNA from 1 species